rnacentral:tmRNA from 1 species
GGGGCUGACAAAGCUUAGACGGAUUAUUAACAGAUACUUUGCACGACGAUUGAUACCGUAAGUAUUAAAUAAAUGAAGAAAAAACUUCGAAGCAUGUGUUUUUUGCACCUGUUUAUGCUUAAGGAUUAAUUUAAGCUGACUUUCUGACUGAGGUUUCAUAGGGAGGAAAGUUAUCAUAGAAAAAGUAUGAGACUAGGGUCUAUUGUGUGACGACGUGGAUCUGAAGAUUUGUCAUGGCGAACAAUAGUUUCCGUUUUUCAUUCUAUUGUUCAUUUGCUAAGCGAUAUGGAAAACUAUGCGUGUAGAAGGGUAUUAUGGAGAUUUUUCGGACCCGGAGGCAGUAUCCGGCAGCUCCACCA